UAGGGAAUCUUCGGCAAUGGACGAAAGUCUGACCGAGCAACGCCGCGUGAGUGAAGAAGGUUUUCGGAUCGUAAAACUCUGUUGUUAGAGAAGAACAAGGACGUUAGUAACUGAACGUCCCCUGACGGUAUCUAACCAGAAAGCCACGGCUAACUACGUGCCAGCAGCCGCGGUAAUACGUAGGUGGCAAGCGUUGUCCGGAUUUAUUGGGCGUAAAGCGAGCGCAGGCGGUUUCUUAAGUCUGAUGUGAAAGCCCCCGGCUCAACCGGGGAGGGUCAUUGGAAACUGGGAGACUUGAGUGCAGAAGAGGAGGGUGGAAUUCCAUGUGUAGCGGUGAAAUGCGUAGAUAUAUGGAGGAACACCAGUGGCGAAGGCGGCUCUCUGGUCUGUAACUGACGCUGAGGCUCGAGAGCGUGGGGAGCAAACAGG
rnacentral:rRNA from 1 species